AUGAUGAACCGGAGCGACGGAGCGGCGGCGGCCGAGCGGGAUUUUGUUGUGGAUGGAGAGGGAAAUGUGUGCAGAACUGCAGUUUACAUGACAGACUGUCUGAAUGAAGACACUGAUAAAGUUCCUCUUCAAACGCACCCGCUGAGAGAAUUUGAACAGGUGAGAUUUUCAGUAUUUGAUUGCAGCGGUUCAGCCCUUCUCAUGUAAAAUUAGAUCAAAUGAAACUGUUUCCAUCAUUGAUCUAAAACACAUCCAUUUGUUUCUAAACGGCUGCUGGAGUCCGUUUCAGAAGAAGGAAAUGCUCAGGACAGAGAGAUCCACAGCUGCUCUCUAGCACCACCAUGUGCUGUUUGCUGUAUUGUAUGUGACGUCACACGAUUAAGAACCUUGAUUUUGCAGCCUUCUCUGAGUGUGAGCUGCUCUGAUUCUGAGAAACAACUUCUUAUAGUUAGAAGUCAUGUGAGUUUGUGCGUGUUGUGUUGUUAAUGUCAGUUCUCAUGUUCCUCCUGCCUCUUUUAUUGUGCUCACUGAAACAUCUAGCUAAAUUCAUUAUUGGAAUAUCACACACACAAAUGUUAUAAACCAGAGCUGAGCUGAUGCAGCAGCGUUUAGACACCC
rnacentral:lncRNA from 12 species